GCCAGGCACGGUGGUAUGCACCUGUAGUCCCAGCUACUCAGAAGGCUGAGGUGGGAGGAUCGCUUGAGCCCAGGAGUUCUGGGUUGUAGUGUGCUAUGCUAGUUGGGUGUCUGCACUAAGGUCAGAAUCAGUAUGGGGACCUCCUGGGAGUAGGGGACCACCGGGCUGUCUAAGGAGGAUUGAACCAGCCCAGAUUGGAAACGGAGCAGGUCAAAACUCCAGGGCUGAUUAGUAGUGGGAUCCUGCCCGUGAAUAGUCACUGCACUCUAGCCUGGGCAACACAGCAAGGCCCUAUCUCUA
ensembl:misc_RNA Metazoa_SRP Metazoan signal recognition particle RNA